rnacentral:lncRNA from 1 species
ACCCGCGCUCAUUGGAAUCACUUCAUGGAUUUUAUCACGAGUGAUCAUGAGACGAUAAUAUCUUAUAUUCUUCAAACCUAGAGAUAUGAGUUGUUACUAUGAGUUGGUUGUACAUUGAUUGCACGAAAACGCAUUUGGUAACUCGGUGCUAUAAAACGUGCCUUUGUGUAUGAUUCAACAAGUAGUAGAACAAGCCAUAUGAGUCGAAGUUUAUCCAUUCCUUCUACCUUCAAGAUAAAAGCGAUAUAUGUAGGCCCCUCGAUGAUUUAAUGAUGAUACAUGUGAUUGCUCUGCCAUGCCAGGACUGGUUUGAUCUGUUCAAUCAGUCAGUCAUCAUGAAUGGGAAAUUGGGAAACAACAAAUGGACAGAGAGAAUGAUUUUAAUCCAUGUCUCAGUCUAUAUGAUAUCUAGAAUGGAGGAAUAUAUGAUCCCUUAUCUAAUGGACAAGUUCGUUGACAAGAUCAGAGUUCGACAGCAGCUUUAAGAGCUACGAUUGCCAAUUGGUUCUUGAAGUCAUACGCAAUAAUAGUUUUAGACUUAUCCAAGUGGGAGACUGUUGGAUUAAUGUCGAAAUCCAUAACUAUAAUUGGUAAGACUUGACCUGACCUGGCAUGGUACAUUUGGGUUGCAUGGCAUAAUGCAUUUGGAUAGACUAUAAUGAGAGAAAUAACACUUAAGGUUUGUUAAUAUAUUAUAGGUUCUAAUAUAUUAAUAAGGUUAUUAGUAUUGAUCAAUAAUUAAUUUGGAAUUAAUUAAGUGAUCAAAAGGAGACUAAUUAAAUAUAUGGGUUGAUUGUGUAAAUCAUCCAUACUUGUAUAGUGGGCUAAUGCUCCAUGGAUAAUCAAGUUGGGCUAAAACCCAUAGGAUGGUCCAUGGAUGCUCCAUGGUGUAUUUGAACCCAUGGNUAAAGUUAUGAGUUAUAUGGUGUAACCCUAAUAGCCACUUUAUAAAAGAAUCCCAUGGCUCAAGAAAUCGUGCACUAGUGUGGGAAUAUGAAGGCUAGACGAUUUCAAGGAGUGUUCCAUUUCUCUCAAGUCAUUUCAUGUGCAUUUGGUGUUAUGUGAACCAUUUGAGGUGUCAUACUUGGGGCAUUAGGCACUCAAGCUUCAUGAAGACAAGCUACAUCAAACAAAGGUAUGUAUUCUAUCCAUUUGAUUACCCAAGUAUCAAGUAUUGUAUGCUAGAUAGGGUAAUACCUUGGAAAGUUCAUAUUUGCAUGUAUAAUAGAGAAAACAUAGAUCCAAGGUAUUUAGGGUUGCAUGUACACUUAGGAGUGUUAGAAUACUCAAAACCCAACACUUCUCUACCUCCACCUCCUCCAAUUAUUCUCCUUAACCCACAAGUUCUUGAAUAGUUCAAGGUCACUCAAUCCCUAUUGGCAAGCAAUGUCUAUAUGUGCUCAUAUCUUGGAGAUGAAGUCACAUAUUGAAAAGUUGAGAGAGUUGGAUGUCGAAGUAUCAAGGAAGCUGAUUGUUGACUGGGUUCUUCAAUCACUCUCCAAGUCAUAUAGUGAGUUCUUUAAAGGACUACUAUGUGACAGACCACGACAUGACCCUUAAUGAUCUUACCUAUUUGCUUGUUGCUGAUGAAUCAUCAAUGAUUUGGAGCACUGGUAAAGCAAAUUUGAUUGGAAGAUAUACUUCCCAAACUUACAUGGACAUUGACAAUGGUAACAUUAGAAGUCCAAAAAAUCUUUCUCUUCCCAAUGGAAAGGGAUUGGCUAUGGUCAAGUCGAAUUGACCCAAUGGUAAAGAGAAAGGCUAAGUCUGAGAUAGUCUCGUGUACCAUUACAAAAGAGUCCAUAUGUUUCUAUUGCCAAAGGAAGGGACAUUGGUUGCGAAGCUGCCCUAUUUACACAAAGAAUCAUAAGGAUUGUAAAGUCAGAAUGUAUGAAUCUACUUCAGGUAAGUCCACUAUGUAACUCUAUUAAGUUCCUAUUUGGAGAUUCUUAUAAGAUGAUGUGACUAGGUCACAUUUUGAUGUUUAGUAGAAUCGAAGAAAUGAAAGAGAACUUAAAAGAAGAGUAAGCUGAUUUUGAUCGUGAAUAGAUGGAUUUCGAUCGCAUGAUUCGAAGAUCAGAAUUUUGAUCUACUGCUAAGAGUUAUGAUAGAUUGCUUAGGAAUAUAUAAAAACAUAGUUUUCAUAUGCAUUUGCAUUCUAAGGAUAAGUUUUUCCGAAAGUUUUAAAAUAAAAGAAAAGUUUUGGUUUUAUUUAUUUGAAGUAUCCUUACAAUGGCAUUUGUGAAAAUUGUUGUUUAUAUGAUUCCAUUGAUAGCAAUAUUGGAAAAUGGAUUUGAUUCUUUUGUUUGUGGUACUGUCAUAAUUUAUCAAAUAAGGAAAGAUUUUCAUCACCUAAGUUUCAGUUGGAUAGAAACUUGGAAUCAUGCAACUUGUAUUGUACGAUGAAUGAGAAUUUUCAUCUUCUGGAAAUUAAGACUAAUUCCUUGUUCACAUGUAUAUGUGAGUCAAGUGAGGGACUAGGAGAUCGGGUACACUUGGUUGUGCGCUGAUCAAGUCCACCACAAAGAACAAUAAAGGUAUUCGUCAUGAUUUACUAAAGUUCAGUAAAUAUGGUUAUGCUUACAAGUUUAAGUGUAACUCUGAAACAUUGGAAAAGUUUCAACGUAUGAUAGGACGAAUGAGAAGAAUCAAAUUAGGUAGAAAGAUAAAAGUUUCUCCAAUCUGAAAAGAUGGGAGAUUAGUUCAGUAUUGUGUUUUAUGAUCAUCUUAAUGAUUAAGAAAAACCAUGUCACAAUUGAUCCUCUAAGGACAUCUUGGUGCAUUUUUUUGGCUAAGAAGAGGAAUCGUGAAUUGUCGAAAUGGUUAAAUCAAGAAGAUGAGUCAUACUUCGUUCCAAAACAAGUCUUAGAAUCAUACUCCAAGAUUGUAACUUGAGUGACAUAAUCUUAAAAGGUUUAUAACACUAGUCAAAUAUAGAGUAAAUUUUUUUCUUACUCUUGUACAUUUGAAAUUGGUAAGUUGUGAUGUUUUGGAUAAGAUAAAGACCAACUAAGACCAAUUGUGUGAAGUGUUUGUCUUGAUAAGAAUCCGCACUAACUCUUGAAUAUUUUCUUUGUCAAGGAAUGGUUCUUGACAAGAGAAUCUUAUAUGUCAAGAGGUCAGUGGGAGUCUUAAUGAUCUUGAAUAGGGUCUCAAGAAAUAAUCAAGGAAAAAACCUAUUGUUUAUCACUAGCACACAACUUGAGGUUUAUAGCCUAUCGUGUUGAUAUAUUCUUGUUUCUGUGCCCAUUCCAUUUGAAGUUGACUAUGCAUGUGAGUUCUAUGAGUUCUAAAUUGUUUGCAUAACUACCUAGAAGCAAUGGUAGGCCCUUGUGCUGCCGGGUGGCAAGAAAACUGAGAUUAAACAAGUGCAGUCCAUAUGACUUUGGAUUUGUCACUAAACUUGUCUUGUGAUUAUGGUUAUGACAAAUUUACAUGGAUAAGAACACAUACACCAUAAAAAUCUAAGUAUCAUAAGGUUUCUCUCUGAUUCAUGAAAAUGAUGGCGAUGAAACGCUUUCACUAAGUAGAUUUUAAAAAGAUAGCAAUUGUGAUAUUUGCAUUCCCAUAGUUGUUAGUGGAGCGUGUGUGGUCAACCGGCACACUAACAUUGACUAGUGAGAAUGGAAAAAGGUCUAAACAUUAUGAUUACGUCAUCCCUUUUCAUAAUUGUUUAGACACACGUGUGAGCUAUCUAAGGAAAGGUGUACGAUUUUGAUAAAGUCUUAUCGAAGCAUCUCCUAUCAGAUAUCUGAACUUUGGUAACAAAGUCAAUAAAAUAUUGAUUUCUAGAAGUCUACCUGAUUUCUGGAUACAUGUCAAAGCUAGUGGGAGCAUACGUGUUAUGCUAAUAAUUAUCAUGUUAGUGGGAGCAUGAUUAUUAUGUUAGGUGUUGCAAGUUAUCAAUGUUAAUUAUAGAAAACAAAAGUGUCGAUUUGCAAAGUUGUAGGGUUUGGAAAGUUGUUUUGCUAUAAUUAAGAAAGAGGAAAUUAUACUUCAUUCCAAUUCUAAUAGCUUAGAUUGUGAGUUUUUAAUCAAAUUUAGUCAUGAGUACAUUAUUUGCGUUCUAAAAUUUGAUUAUGAUUACGACAUCCCUUUUCAUAAUUCGAAUUAUGAGAACAUGGCAAAUAGAAAUAGAAAUAUUUUAGCAAAAGACUGGUCUAGUAUCUUGUCUUUAUGUGAGACAUUAUGAAUUGUAUCCCAUAUGUUUUGGGUAUAGGAUCAAUUGGAUAUGCUAUAAUAUUCAUCCAUUCUAAAUUUUCCAAUGCCUAGAGUAUUAAGAGGGAAAAUGACUAGAACUGGAUAUGACUAAAAAGAUUAAGCAAUUGUCAAGGACAAUUUGAGGUAUACCAAAGAUUGGUUGCUCAUGGACGGUUGGAAGUAUAGUGUUAAUUUGUGGAAAAACCAUAUUGACAUAUUUUGAAAGGAGGUAACUCUUGUUUAGUAGUGAUAGUCAAAAUGGGAAUGUGGAAAUGUUUCCAUAGGUGGAAGUUAUUCAUUAAAUCUGUGUAAGAUUAGAAAACUUAAUGCAAGAAGGAUUUUCAAAGGAAUGUACUUUGAAUUUGAGACUUCAUUUCCAUCGAAUUGCUCUCCAUUGGAAUACUUUGUAAAUGUUUGUUGCCAAGUCUUUGUGACUUUUGUGCAUAAUUAUUAUAAGAGGAUUAAUGCAUAUAAGUUUAUAAUCUAACAUAUUUCAGUAAAUGGAAAAGAAUAUUGUAUUCUUACAUCUGCGAUAAGGAUUUGGGAUUGUGAAAUGAGAAUAAUUGGAAUCAUAUUCAAUUGAUAUAUUUCACAAAGUAAGGAUCAUAGACAAACAUAGUGUGCAUAACUAUUGUUUAGUAAACAUAGUGUGCAUGCUUAGAGCAUGGGACAACUAUUGUUUUGAUUCAAGUAUAAAGUUGAUUAUUCAAAACAUUACACGAUGAAUAAUGUGUAAUCAAUAUGGUGAUUAAAUAAAAGGUGUUUUAUUUAUAUUCAUAAGUUCUGAGACCAUAUUAGAUUCGAUUAUUUUGGUGUUUCACUUUGCAUGUUUUGACUUCCCAAAUAACUAGGUUAUUCAAACUCUCCACAGUCAAUCAUACUUUGAAGUAGGUAUGAAUCAAGACUGUUAUGAAUUGGGCUUGUAGAUGUCUAAAGUGUUUAGACAUCGCAAAAGUUGCUGCAACAUUCAUGAGUGCUCCUAGAAUGAGAUUCGAGUAUUGGAUUCAACCCACGCUCAUAUGGAUCACUUCAUGGAUUUUAUCACGAGUGAUCAUGAGACGAUAAUAUCUUAUAUUCUUCAAACCUAGAGAUAUGAGUUGUUGACUAUGAGUUGGUUGUACAUUGAUUGUACGAAAAUGCAUCAAUAACUUGAUGUUAUAAAACGUGCCUUUGUGUAUGAUUCAACAAGUAGUUAGUACAAGUAUAUGAGUCGAAGUUUAUCCAUUCUUUUUACCCUUGGAGGGAUA